rnacentral:rRNA from 1 species
CACGGCAUACAGCUCAGUAACACGUGGCUAACCUGCCCUUGGGACGAGAACAACCCCGGGAAACUGGGGCUAACUCUCGACAGGCGAAGAACUCUGGAAUGAGUCUUCACCCAAACAGUUUAAGGUUAUGCUCUUUAAACCGCCCAAGGAUGGGGCCGCGACCGAUCAGGUUGUUGGUGAGGUAAUGGCUCACCAAGCCUUUUACCGGUGCGGGCCGUGGGAGCGGGAGCCCGGAGAUGGGCACUGAGACAAGGGCCCAGGCCCUACGGGGCGCAGCAGUCGCGAAAACUUUGCAAUAAGCGCAAGCUUGACAGGGCUAUCCCGAGUGCCAUCCGCUGAGGAAGGCUUUUACCCAGUCUAGAACGCUGGGGGAAUAAGGAGAGGGCAAGUCUGGUGUCAGCCGCCGCGGUAAUACCAGCUCUCCGAGUGGUGUGGAUGUUUAUUGGGCCUAAAGCAUCCGUAGCUGGCUAGGUUAGUCCCCUGUUAAAUCCACCGAAUUAAUCGUUGGAUUGCGGGGGAUACUGCUUGGCUAGGGGACGAGAGAGGCAGACGGUAUUUCCGGGGUAGGGGUGAAAUCCUAUAAUCCCGGGAAGACCACCAGUGGCGAAGGCUGUCUGCUAGAACGCGCCCGACGGUGAGGGAUGAAAGCUGGGGGAGCGAACCGGAUUAGAUACCCGGGUAGUCCCAGCUGUAAACGAUGCAGACUAGGUGUUUGAACGGCCACGUGCCGUUCUAGUGCCGCAGGGAAGCUGUUAAG